GACGAACGCUGGCGGCGCGCCUAACACAUGCAAGUCGAACGGUGACGAGAGCUUCGGCUCUCUGAUCAGUGGCGGACGGGUGAGUAACACGUGAGCAACCUGGCUCUAAGAGGGGGACAACAGUUGGAAACGACUGCUAAUACCGCAUAACGUAACGAGAAGGCAUCUUUUCGUACCAAAGAUUUAUCGCUUAGAGAUGGGCUCGCGUCUGAUUAGAUAGUUGGCGGGGUAACGGCCCACCAAGUCGACGAUCAGUAGCCGGACUGAGAGGUUGAACGGCCACAUUGGGACUGAGACACGGCCCAGACU
rnacentral:rRNA from 1 species